GGGGAAUAUUGGACAAUGGGCGCAAGCCUGAUCCAGCAAUGCCGCGUGGGUGAAGAAGGCCUUCGGGUUGUAAAGCCCUUUUGUACGGGAAGAAAAGCUCCGGGCUAAUACCUUGGGGUCAUGACGGUACCGUAAGAAUAAGCACCGGCUAACUUCGUGCCAGCAGCCGCGGUAAUACGAAGGGUGCAAGCGUUACUCGGAAUUACUGGGCGUAAAGCGUGCGUAGGCGGUUUGUUAAGUCAGAUGUGAAAGCCCCGGGCUCAACCUGGGAAUUGCAUUUGAAACUGGCGAGCUAGAGUGUGGUAGAGGGUGGUGGAAUUCCCGGUGUAGCAGUGAAAUGCGUAGAGAUCGGGAGGAACAUCUGUGGCGAAGGCGGCCACCUGGACCAACACUGACGCUGAGGCACGAAAGCGUGGGGAGCAAAC
rnacentral:rRNA from 1 species